rnacentral:rRNA from 1 species
GCAGUCGACGAUCCUACGGGAGGCAGCAGUGGGGAAUAUUGGACAAUGGGCGCAAGCCUGAUCCAGCAAUACCGCGUGAGGGAUGAAGGCUUUCGAGUCGUAAACCUCUGUCAGUUGGAACGAUGGGUCUAAAGGUUAAUACCCUUUAGACUUGACGGUACCUUCAAAGGAAGCCCCGGCUAACUCCGUGCCAGCAGCCGCGGUAAUACGGAGGGGGCAAGCGUUGCUCGGAAUUACUGGGCGUAAAGGGUCCGCAGGUGGCUUUGUAAGUUAGAUGUGAAAUCUCAGGGCUCAACCCUGAAACUGCAUCUAAUACUGCUUAGCUUGAGUACAGGAGAGGUUGGCGGAAUUCCCGGUGUAGCGGUGAAAUUCGUAGAUAUUAGGAAGAACACCAGUGGCGAAGGCGGCUCACUGGCUCGAUACUGACGCUGAGGCGCGAAAGCGUGGGGAGCAAACAGGAUUAGAUACCCUGGUAGUCCACGCCGUAAACGAUGAGAGCUAGCCGUCGGGCGGCAUGCCGUUCGGUGGCGCAGCUAACGCAUUAAGCUCUCCGCCUGGGGAGUACGGUCGCAAGAUUAAAACUCAAAGGAAUUGACGG